CUCAGGUAAGAUAAAAUUUCAGCUCCUGUCUGGGCUUCACAAUAGUCGAAUACCUUAAAUUUCAAAAUUUGGAUAUUCGUUGUUGAUGAAGCCUUGAUGGGGGUGAGAAAGAAGUUUGCUUAGCUCA
rnacentral:precursor_RNA from 15 species